rnacentral:rRNA from 1 species
UACGAAGGGGGCUAGCGUUGUUCGGAUUUACUGGGCGUAAAGCGCACGUAGGCGGAUCUAUCAGUCAGGGGUGAAAUCCCAGGGCUCAACCCUGGAACUGCCUUUGAUACUGUCGAUCUGGAGUAUGGAAGAGGUGAGUGGAAUUCCGAGUGUAGAGGUGAAAUUCGUAGAUAUUCGGAGGAACACCAGUGGCGAAGGCGGCUCACUGGUCCAUUACUGACGCUGAGGUGCGAAAGCGUGGGGAGCAAACAGG